UGGUCGGACAUCAGGAGGUUAGUGCAAUGGCAUAAGCUAGCUUGACUGCGAGCGUGACGGCGCGAGCAGGUGCGAAAGCAGGUCAUAGUGAUCCGGUGGUUCUGAAUGGAAGGGCCAUCGCUCAACGGAUAAAAGGUACUCCGGGGAUAACAGGCUGAUACCGCCCAAGAGUUCAUAUCGACGGCGGUGUUUGGCACCUCGAUGUCGGCUCAUCACAUCCUGGGGCUGAAGUAGGUCCCAAGGGUAUGGCUGUUCGCCAUUUAAAGUGGUACGCGAGCUGGGUUUAGAACGUCGUGAGACAGUUCGGUCCCUAUCUGCCGUGGGCGCUGGAGAAUUGAGGGGGGCUGCUCCUAGUACGAGAGGACCGGAGUGGACGCAUCACUGGUGUUCGGGUUGUCAUGCCAAUGGCACUGCCCGGUAGCUAAAUGCGGAAGAGAUAAGUGCUGAAAGCAUCUAAGCACGAAACUUGCCCCGAGAUGAGUUCUCCCUGAGACUAUAAGUCUCCUGAAGGAACGUUGAAGACGACGACGUUGAUAGGCCGGGUGUGUAAGCGCAGCGAUGCGUUGAGCUAACCGGUACUAAUGAACCGUGAGGCUUAACCUUACAACGCCGAAG
rnacentral:rRNA from 1 species